CCUACGGGAGGCAGCAGUGGGGAAUCUUGCACAAUGGAGGAAACUCUGAUGCAGCGACGCCGCGUGAGCGAUGAAGCCCUUCGGGGUGUAAAGCUCUUUCGACGGGAAAGAUAAUGACGGUACCCGAAGAAGAAGCUGCGGCUAACUACGUGCCAGCAGCCGCGGUAAUACGUAGGCAGCAAGCGUUGUUCGGAAUUACUGGGCGUAAAGAGUGUGUAGGCGGUGCUCUAAGAUUGGUGUGAAAUCUCCCGGCUCAACCGGGAGGGUGCGCCGAAGACUGGGGUGCUUGAGGGUGGGAGAGGUAAGCGGAAUUCCUGGUGUAGCGGUGAAAUGCGUAGAUAUCAGGAGGAACACCUGUGGUGUAGACAGCUUACUGGACCACUUCUGACGCUGAGACACGAAAGCGUGGGUAGCAAACAGGAUUAGAUACCCUGGUAGUCCACGCCCUAAACGAUGCAUACUUGGUGUGAGCAUCUAUUGUUGUGCGGNGCUACGUACGUUAGUAUGCGCCGUGGGAGGUACGGUCGCGAGGACGUGAACGUACAAUAGAAGUUAGUACGGCGUGAGACGUCGCCGACGGACGACGACGAGGGAGGAGG
rnacentral:rRNA from 1 species